AGCUUGCUAUCAGGCGUCGAGCGGCGGACGGGUGAGUAAUACUUAGGAAUCUACCUAGUAGUGGGGGAUAGCACGGGGAAACUCGUAUUAAUACCGCAUACGACCUACGGGAGAAAGGGGGCAGUUUACUGCUCUCGCUAUUAGAUGAGCCUAAGUCGGAUUAGCUAGAUGGUGGGGUAAAGGCCUACCAUGGCGACGAUCUGUAGCUGGUCUGAGAGGAUGAUCAGCCACACCGGGACUGAGACACGGCCCGGACUCCUACGGGAGGCAGCAGUGGGGAAUAUUGGACAAUGGGGGAAACCCUGAUCCAGCCAUGCCGCGUGUGUGAAGAAGGCCUUUUGGUUGUAAAGCACUUUAAGCAGUGAAGAAGACUCCGUGGUUAAUACCCACGGACGAUGACAUUAGCUGCAGAAUAAGCACCGGCUAACUCUGUGCCAGCAGCCGCGGUAAUACAGAGGGUGCAAGCGUUAAUCGGAAUUACUGGGCGUAAAGGGAGCGUAGGUGGCUCUAUAAGUCAGAUGUGAAAUCCCCGGGCUUAACCUGGGAACUGCAUCUGAAACUGUAGAGCUAGAGUAUGUGAGAGGAAGGUAGAAUUCCAGGUGUAGCGGUGAAAUGCGUAGAGAUAUGGAGGAAUACCGAUGGCGAAGGCAGCCUUCUGGCAUAAUACUGACACUGAGGCUCGAAAGCGUGGGUAGCAAACAGGAUUAGAUACCCUGGUAGUCCACGCCGUAAACGAUGUCGUACUAGUCGUUGGGUCCCUUGAGGACUUAGUGACGCAGCUAACGCAAUAAGUAGACCGCCUGGGGAGUACGGCCGCAAGGUUAAAACUCAAAUGAAUUGACGGGGGCCCGCACAAGCGGUGGAGCAUGUGGUUUAAUUCGAUGCAACGCGAAGAACCUUACCUGGUCUUGACAUAUCUAGAAUCCUGCAGAGAUGCGGGAGUGCCUUCGGGAAUUAGAAUACAGGUGGUGCAUGGCUGUCGUCAGCUCGUGUCGUGAGAUGUUGGGUUAAGUCCCGCAACGAGCGCAACCCUUGUCCUUAGUUACCAGCGGGUUAAGCCGGGAACUCUAAGGAUACUGCCAGUGACAAACUGGAGGAAGGCGGGGACGACGUCAAGUCAUCAUGGCCCUUACGACCAGGGCUACACACGUGCUACAAUGGUAGGUACAGAGGGCAGCUACACAGCGAUGUGAUGCGAAUCUCAAAAAGCCUAUCGUAGUCCAGAUUGGAGUCUGCAACUCGACUCCAUGAAGUAGGAAUCGCUAGUAAUCGCGGAUCAGAAUGCCGCGGUGAAUACGUUCCCGGGCCUUGUACACACCGCCCGUCACACCAUGGGAGUUGAUUGCACCAGAAGUGGAUAGCUUA
rnacentral:rRNA from 1 species